rnacentral:rRNA from 1 species
AACUUAAAGGAAUUGACGGGGGAGCACCACAACGGGUGGAGCUUGCGGUUUAAUUGGAUUCAACGCCGGAAAUCUUACCGGGACCGACAGCAAUAUGAAGGCCAGGCUGAAGACUUUGCCGGAUUAGCUGAGAGGUGGUGCAUGGCCGUCGUCAGUUCGUACUGUGAAGCAUCCUGUUAAGUCAGGCAACGAGCGAGACCCACGCCCACAGUUGCCAGCGUACUCUCUGGAGUGACGGGUACACUGUGGGGACCGCCGCUGCUAAAGCGGAGGAAGGAAUGGGCAACGGUAGGUCAGUAUGCCCCGAAUAUCCCGGGCUACACGCGAGCUACAAUGGUUGGUACAAUGGGUAUCUACCCCGAAAGGGGACGGGAAUCUCCUAAAACCAAUCCUAGUUCGGAUUGAGGGCUGCAACUCGCCCUCAUGAAGCUGGAAUCCGUAGUAAUCGCGUUUCAACAGAACGCGGUGAAUACGUCCCUGCUCCUU